rnacentral:lncRNA from 1 species
GUUUUGCGAAGGAACUCUAGAAAACAUCAAGGAAGUCAACCUACCUCCUCUGGCUUUACUUCUCUAGUGCAACGAAGUCAUUCACCCACCCAGGUUCCCGAAGGACAUGUUGUGAAAAGGGGACUGCAGUGGAUGAGGCUUGAAAGCUUCUCCAGAACCUUCCAGCAAGUGGAGGGAAGGAGGGAGUAUGAGACCCCAGCUCCUCGCAGGUUCAACCCAAAGCCCACACUCUGGAACACCACUAAACUCCGGAACACCCAGAACACUACACAGCUGCACAGCUCCAGGACACAGAAUACACCUCACACAGUGCAAGGAAACUUCUGGAGGCCAUCCCUAACAACAGCAGCAGCUUGGCAGCCAGAGGUGUGCAGCAGCAGUUUUCUUAGGGUUGCCAUAGCAACACCACCGAUGGCAACCUGCAAACAGUGCAAUCCAGCCACAUAUGAAUUCCCUAACUACGCAACAAGAAGCAGACAACAGCUACAUCACCCAUAUUCAAGAACGAGGGUAACAGGUGAUUUAAAGUGCAGUAAACAAGCAACUUGAAAAUAAUGAAUUUGAUAAAUACUCAGGCGUCCGCAUUGAAAAGUGGUGCUGAAUGGUCUCUAAAACCAGCAGAUGAUAUUAUUCUUACAGAGCGUCUCUGUAGGCGAUAGAUUGAUAGUAGUUUGGUAUGGUGUGUGUGUGCUGGCCCAUAUAAUGUUACAGUAACGGAUGAAUGGGAUAUUCAUUGUGUAGUAGAGACUGAGAGCAGUGCCUCUGUUUAGGAGAUAUCUAAUUUUGCC